rnacentral:rRNA from 1 species
CCUACGGGAGGCAGCAGUGGGGAAUAUUGCGCAAUGGGCGAAAGCCUGACGCAGCGACGCCGCGUGAGGGAUGAAGGUCUUCGGAUCGUAAACCUCUGUCAGCAGGGAAGAACGGUCACUGUGCUAAUCAGCAGUGAAUUGACGGUACCUGCAAAGGAAGCACCGGCUAACUCCGUGCCAGCAGCCGCGGUAAUACGGAGGGUGCGAGCGUUAAUCGGAAUUACUGGGCGUAAAGCGCUCGUAGGCGGUAUGUCAAGUCAAGGGUGAAAUCCCCGCGCUCAACGUGGGAACUGCCUUUGAAACUGUCAAACUGGAGUGUGUGAGAGGAUAGUGACAUGCCAGGUUUAGCAGUUAAAUCCGUAGAUAUCUGGAGGAACCUCAGUAGCGAAGGCGACUAUCUGGCACAUAACUGACGCUGAGGAGCGAAAGCGUGGGUAGCAAACAGGAUUAGAUACCCGUGUAGUC